GACGAACGCUGGCGGCGUGCUUAACACAUGCAAGUCGAACGGAAAGGCCCUGCUUGCAGGGUCCUCGAGUGGCGAACGGGUGAGUAACACGUGGGUGAUCUGCCCUGCACUUCGGGAUAAGCCUGGGAAACUGGGUCUAAUACCGGAUAGGAGCAAUUUUCAGUGUGAUGGUUGGAAAGUUUUUUCGGUGUAGGAUGAGCUCGCGGCCUAUCAGCUUGUUGGUGGGGUAAUGGCCUACCAAGGCGGCGACGGGUAGCCGGCCUGAGAGGGUGGACGGCCACAUUGGGACUGAGAUACGGCCCAGACUCCUACGGGAGGCAGCAGUGGGGAAUAUUGCACAAUGGGCGCAAGCCUGAUGCAGCGACGCCGCGUGGGGGAUGACGGCCUUCGGGUUGUAAACUCCUUUCGCUAGGGACGAAGCGUUUGUGACGGUACCUAGAGAAGAAGCACCGGCUAACUACGUG
rnacentral:rRNA from 1 species